rnacentral:rRNA from 1 species
CCCUUAGAUGUUCUGGGCCGCACGCGUGCUACACUGAGUGGAUCAGCGGGUCAGGUUGCGCGAAAGCGUUUCCUAAUCUUUAAAUCCGCUCGUGAUGGGGAUUGACGGUUGCAAUUUUCUGUCAUGAACGAGGAAUACCUUGUAAGCGCGGGUCAUCAUCCCGCGCUGAAUACGUCCCUGCCCUUUGUACACACCGCUCGUCGCUCCUACCGAUUGAGUGGUCCGGUGAGGCUUUGGGAUCUGAGCGGAAAGAGCGUUUCGCUGUUUCUGCUCGGAAAACUCAGUCGAACCUUAUCAUUUAGAGGAAGGAGAAGUCGCAACA